ACGCGAGCUGGGUUCAGAACGUCGUGAGACAGUUCGGUCCCUAUCUGUUGUGGGCGCAGGAAAUUUGAGAGGCACUGACACUAGUACGAGAGGACCGUGUUGGACCGACCCCUGGUUUAUCGGUUGUUCCGCCAGGAGCAUAGCCGAGUAGCUAAGUCGGGAUUGGAUAAGUGCUGAAAGCAUCUAAGUACGAAGCCAGCCCCAAGAUAAGAUUUCCCUUAAGGGUCGUCAGAGACGAUGACGUAGAUAGGUUGCAGAUGUAAAGGCAGUAAUGUCAAAGUCGAGCAAUACUAAUCACCCGUGACUUUCGGUU
rnacentral:rRNA from 1 species